rnacentral:rRNA from 1 species
CAGCAGCCGCGGUAAUACGUAGGUGGCGAGCGUUGUCCGGAAUCAUUGGGCGUAAAGGGAGCGCAGGCGGGCAUGUAAGUCUUUCUUAAAAGUGCGGGGCUCAACCCCGUGAUGGGAAAGAAACUACAUGUCUUGAGUACAGGAGAGGAAAGCGGAAUUCCCAGUGUAGCGGUGAAAUGCGUAGAUAUUGGGAGGAACACCAGUGGCGAAGGCGGCUUUCUGGACUGCAACUGACGCUGAGGCUCGAAAGCCAGGGGAGCGAACGGGAUUAGAGACCCCUGUAGUCCCUGUCUCUUAUACA